rnacentral:lncRNA from 1 species
UUUUGACUAUUGUGAAUAUUGUUGCAAUAAAAUUGGAAUGUAGAGCCCUCUUUAAACAAGUAGAUUUCUUUUCCUUUUUUGUAUACCAAGUAGCGGGACUAUUGGGUCCCACUUUUUAACUUUUUUUUGUUUUGUUUUGUUUUUUUGUUUGUUUUUUUGAGACAGGGUUCCUCUGUCUAGCCUUGGCUGUCCUGGAACUCACUCUGUAGACCAGGCUGGCCUCAAACUCAGAAAUCUGCCUGCCUCUUAACUUUUUUUUUUUUAAAGAUUUAUUUAUUUAUGUUAUUUAUAUGAGUACACUGUAGCUGUCUUCAAACACACCAGUAGAGGGCAUCGGAUCCCAUUACAGAGGGUUGGUGAUUCACCAUGUGGUUGCUAAGAAUUGAACUCAGGACCUGUGGAAGAGCAGUCAAUGCUCUUAACCACUGAGUCAUCUCUCCAGCCCCUCUUUUUAACUUUUUGAGGAACCUCUCUCUACACCAUUUUUCACAACCGCUGUUUACAUUCCCACCAGGGUGUAGAAAUGUUCUCUUUUUUUCCCAUAACCAGCAUGUUACCUUUUGUCUUUUUGCCUUCCUAACUGAAGUAAAAUGAUUGUUUUCACUGUGUUAGUGCCUUAUAUGUUCUUCAUAUGAACCUAUGAUUGUUAGAUUUUAUAAUUAUACAUAUUUUCUCCUUAUUCUGUAAGUUUUCUUUCAUUCUUUGCUGUUUCCUGUACUGUGUAGAAGCUUUAUAGUUUAGUGUAAUCUUGUCUGCUUUUACUUUUGUUUCCUUUGCUUUGGGGGUCUCAGUCAAGAAGAUUUUAUCCAUUCCAGUGUUAUAAAGUAUUUUCACUAUUUUUUGUAUUUUCAUAAUUUUAGUGGUUAUAUUUAAGACUUUAAUUUGAGUUCAUUUUUGUCUGUGAUCAGUGAUAGUAGGUACCUGCAUACUAUCCCACACCAAAUGAACACAGUCUUUCUCUAAUUUGUCUUAACAUUUUUUGUCAGAUCAAAAAGAAACUUCCUGUGGCCAAACAUGGGGCAACACCAAUCUAUGUAUAUAAUGUAACUCUUUAGUGGGUAGUUUAAUAAUGUGUCCAUUUAGCCACAUAGAAACAGUAGGUUCACCAUUAGGGUCUGUUACCUUGGCCAUGGCCUUUGACCAAGUUCACAGUACUAGGCCUGAACUCACUCAUGUGGAACAAGCUUCAGAUCCCAUUAAAACCUAGUUGGUUGCUUCCAUAACUGCCAUGCACACUGUUCUGCCAGCUUAGUACUCAUUCCUGAUCAGUUUAGGUUUUCUGCUCCUUUAUGAUAAGGUAUGUGUCCUGGAAUUUACCCAUUUCUUCUAGACUAUCAAAGUCGUUGACAUAUCUUUAUUCAUGAUAAUCUGUAAUCCUUUGCAUUUUUAUAGUUUUCAUUAUAAUGUAUACUUUUUCAUCUUUGAUUUACUUAUAUAGAAAUUUUUGUUUUUCCUUUUUCUGAAAGGGUCUUACUCUGUAGCCCUGGUUGGCCUGGGAUUCACUAUGUCACUAUGUUGACCAAGCUGGCCUGGAAUCGACAAAGAGCCUCUGCUUCCAGAGUGUUGGGAUUAACACUGUUCAUGAUCAUACCUAGCUCUUAGUCUAUUUGUUUUAGUUGUUCGUCUAUUUAUUUUGAGAUUAUAAUGUAAUUACAUUAUUCUCCAUCACCCUUCUUUAUUCUUUUAAAUUUAUAGCCUCUUUUUAUUAAUUAUUGUUAUAUUCUUAAAUUCAUGAAUACAACCUUCUCAAUCUGUAUAAUGUUACUUGUAUGUAUGUUUUCAUAACCAAGUUGACAUGCUAUUCCCUGGGGAAAGUUGUUUCUCCUGUCCUCAGCAUUCCUUAGUUGCCUGUAGUCCUUUGUGGAGGGCUGAAGCCUCCAGUUCUCCCCAACCCCAUGUUAGCAUAGCUUUUGUUGUCCUUGUUCAGCUCAUGUGUUGUUGGUGGGCUUAUGAAUGUAGCUUCUGACAUUUCUAGGAGACAUACUCUCAAAGCAAACUUGAAAUCUGAAAAUCAAAAGUAGU